rnacentral:rRNA from 1 species
UGCACCGGCCCUGCCUGCAGCCCAAGACCAGUUACUCACUGAAGCUAAGCAGGGCUGAGCCUGGUCAGUACCUGGACGGGAGACCACAUGGGAAAACUAGGUUGCUGUUGGAA